GGCUGGGGGAGGUGAGGCAAGUUGAAUGGAAUCAACGGCGAUCCCAUUGCAUGGAGAUGGGGGCUUUAGAUCUGCUCUGCCUUUACCAGCAGCGCCCAGACAGUGAUACCUUUGUGCCUCAGGGUUCCCACCUGUGAAAUGGAUAGAUGUCUGUCUUGAAUGAUGUAGGUCCAUUUGGAGGCACGUGAGAAGCUGCGAGUGCCUGCAAAAACCUUCUCAACCCAAGAUUCUACCCAGGAAAGGCCAUGGCUUGAGAAUGUCUAAGAAGUGGUGAGAAACAGCUCCUGGAAAGAAGGUCCCCCUGAGAAUGUGCUCAAGGUACUCCCUUCCCCUCCCCCAGGUGGCCAGGCUGGCCACAAGGCCGCCCUAGACCUUGCUCCUUGGUCUCUCCUUCCUGUAGCCCAUGAUGGUGAUGACUCAGAAAGCAGGCGCUCAGAACACUCAUAAAGGCCGAUGUGCAGCUUCCUAGACCCAGGCAGGAGGUGAGCCUCAUGGCCUCCUCCUCCCGCCUGCCCCGUGAACUCUUAAACCUGGAGAUGUGCUGAGCCAGGAGCCAAUGGAAUGAACAUGGUUUCCACCGAGUAAAAUUAUCAGCGUGUUAACAGCUGCCCCCCAAACAGCUGGGGAUGCAUUCCCGCCCUGCACAUGCAGACAGCAGCAACAUUUGCUCAACCUGGGAGCUUCAGAGACAGGCAUGAAACUAAAUCUUCCAAAUCCAUUGAGGUGAGCCCAGAUGCACCAACCCAGAGGAUCCAAGGGCUCAGCCUUUUCCAGGCCAUUCCCGGGGCCCUCUGCUCACUCCCCUCCUUCCUCCAUCUCCUUCCUCCCCAUUCUUCAUGCCUCCCUCUCACCCUGCCCUGUGUGUCUGUGUCUUAUGAAUGCCUACGCAUCUGAUGCUCCCUAGGAAGCCCCUCACCAUGCAUACUCCUCCUCAGUGCCCCCUGCCCUAAGCAUCAGGCUUUCUUGACCGUCUAACACUGCACCUGUGCAAGUCCCACCCUGGCCUCUCUGGGGACAGUGAUGUUCUUUCCUUGCCCCCUGAGCCCCAUCAGUACUCGGGAGCUGGCACACAGGGAGUGCCCUCAAAUGGCUGUGGGACAAGUGAGAGGAAGGUGCUGUGACAGCUUGUUUUCAGCCAGUGGACCCACUGAAAUGGAUGGACAGGCUCAAGGGUCCUGAGAGUUGGGUCCCCAGGCCAGUGGAACCAGCGUCACCUGGAACUGAUGAGAGAGUGAGGCACAGAGAAGGGGAGUACUACAACCAAGAUUACACAGCAGGUGGGGAGACCGAGGCAGAGAUCAUGAGUGAAUCGCCCAAGUUCAUAGAGCUCACCACCGUGCCCCAUCAGGUCUGUCUGACCCCAAGCAUGUGGCCUUCCUGCACGUGGUCUGCCUCUCCUUUAGAGCAGAGGGGGACAAAUCCAGGGUGCACUAUUCUGGAGAGACCUUGCUUUGUCCAGUACCUCUGAUGGGAGUGAGGCUUGGUCGGAAUGAGAAGGAAAAAUAUUCUGCCUCCAGGCAUGGCCUCUGUCUAAGCCUGUGCUCUCUGCCCCAGCUGUACCUGUCUGAACAAGGGACUUUGAAGAUGUAUUUAAGAUGAGGUCAUAUUGGAUCACCAUGGACCCUAAAUCCAAUGACUGACUCAAACGGAAACAUCAGCUCUUCUUGAGUCUCAAGCUUGCCAGCUUCUGAACUGGAACUAUAACAUUAGCUCUUCUGGUUCUCAGUUCUACAGUAUUAAAUGAGAGCUUACACCAUCAGCUCUCCUGGGUCUCCAGCUGGCUGGCUGCAGAUCUUGGGGAUUCUCAGCCUCCCUGAUCAUGUGAGCCAACUCCUUAAGAGGCAAGGACACAUGUGGAUGGGAGAAGGCCAUGUGAAGUGGAGGCAGAGAUUUGAGUGAUGCAUCUAUAAGCCAAGAAACACCAAGGACUGCCAGCAACCACCAGAAGCUGGAAGAGGCAAGGAAGGAUUCUACCCUACAGAUUUCAGAGGGAGUAUGGCCCUGCCAACACCUUGAUUUUGGACAUCUAGUCUCCAGAACUAUGAGGUAAUAUAUUUCUAUCAUUUUAAGCCAUCCAGUUUGUAGUACUUUAUGGUGGCCACAUUAAUCUAAUGCAGACAGCCUGAAGUCCUCAGGUCACUUAUGAUCUGAGGCCCCUAAUAAAGAUUCCAGAAUAUAAAUAACUUUCAUUCAUUCAUUCAUUCAUCACUCAGAUAUUUCUCCUGUGCCUGCUAUUUGUGGGUCUUUGUUCUAGUAGCUGGGGACAUGGGACAAAACCCACUGCCCUCCUGGAG
rnacentral:lncRNA from 10 species